AGCGAACGCUGGCGGCAGGCCUAACACAUGCAAGUCGAACGAACUCUUCGGAGUUAGUGGCGGACGGGUGAGUAACACGUGGGAACGUGCCUUUUGGUUCGGCAUAACUCAGGGAAACUUGUGCUAAUACCGAAUGUGCCCUUCGGGGGAAAGAUUUAUCGCCAUUAGAGCGGCCCGCGUCUGAUUAGCUAGUUGGUGAGGUAACGGCUCACCAAGGCGACGAUCAGUAGCUGGUCUGAGAGGAUGACCAGCCACACUGGGACUGAGACACGGCCCAGACUCCUACGGGAGGCAGCAGUGGGGAAUCUUGCGCAAUGGGCGAAAGCCUGACGCAGCCAUGCCGGGUGAAUGAUGAAGGUCUUAGGAUUGUAAAAUUCUUUCACCGGGGACGAUAAUGACGGUACCCGGAGAAGAAGCCCCGGCUAACUUCGUG
rnacentral:rRNA from 1 species